UACGGAGGGGGCGAGCGUUAUUCGGAAUUAUUGGGCGUAAAGGGCGCGUAGGCGGCUGUACAAGUCAAAGGUGAAAUCCCUCGGCUCAACUGAGGAACUGCCUUUGAAACUGUACGGCUUGAGGCCGGGAGGGGGUAGCGGAAUUCCCAGUGUAGCGGUGAAAUGCGUAGAUAUCGGGAGGAACACCAGUGGCGAAGGCGGUUAGCUGGCCUGUAACUGACACUGAGGCGCGAAGGCUAGGGGAGCGAACAGG
rnacentral:rRNA from 1 species